rnacentral:rRNA from 1 species
CAUACCGUAAGCCGGUUGAAAGACAGUUUCAGGUGGGCAGUUUGACUGGGGCGGUCGCCUCCCAAAAGGUAACGGAGGCGUACAAAGGUUUCCUCAGAUCGUUCAGAAAUCGAUCUUAGAGUGCAAAGGCAAAAGGAAGCUUAACUGUGAGACAAACAAGUCGAGCAGAGACGAAAGUCGGUCUUAGUGAUCUGACGCUGCUGUGUGGAAAGGGCGUCACUCAACGGAUAAAAGUUACUCUAGGGAUAACAGGCUGAUCUCCCCCAAGAGCUCAUAUCGACGGGGAGGUUUGGCACCUCGAUGUCGGUUCGUCACAUCCUGGGGCUGGAGAAGGUCCCAAGGGUUCGGCUGUUCGCCGAUUAAAGUGGCACGUGAACUGGGUUCAGAACGUCGCAAGACAGUUCGGUCCCUAUCUGUGAUGGGCGUUAGAAAAUUGCGUAGACAUGACCUUAGUACGAGAGGACCGGGUCGUACGUACCGCUGGUGUAUCUGUUGUGCCGCCAGGUGCAGCGCAGAGUAGCUAUGUACGGACAGGAUAAACGCUGAAAGCAUCUAAGCGUGAAACCUUCUACAAGAUGAGUUUUCUUUUAAGGGUCGUCAGAGACUAUGACGUUGAUAGGCUAUAGGUGUAAAGGUGGUAACAUCAAAGCCGAGUAGUACUAAUUGCCCGU